GUGGGGAAUAUUGCGCAAUGGGGGAAACCCUGACGCAGCAACGCCGCGUGAAGGAUGAAGGUUUUCGGAUUGUAAACUUCUUUUGUCGAGGACGAAACAAAUGACGGUACUUGACGAAUAAGCCACGGCUAACUACGUGCCAGCAGCCGCGGUAAUACGUAGGUGGCGAGCGUUGUCCGGCUUUCCUGGGUGUAAAGGGCGAGUAGGCGGAUGAGAAAGUCAGAUGUGAAAUACCGGGGCUUAACCCCGGGGCUGCAUUUGAAACUGCUUAUCUUGAGUGAUGGAGAGGCAGGCGGAAUUCCCGGUGUAGCGGUGGAAUGCGUAGAUAUCGGGAGGAACACCAGUGGCGAAGGCGGCCUGCUGGACAUUAACUGACGCUGAUGAGCGAAAGCGUGGGGAGCAAACAGGAUUAGAUACCCCUGUAGUCC
rnacentral:rRNA from 1 species